UAGAGUUUGAUUCUGGCUCAGGACGAACGCUGGCGGCGUGCUUAACACAUGCAAGUCGAACGGUAAGGCCCUUUUUGGGUGUACGAGUGGCGAACGGGUGAGUAACACGUGGGUGAUCUGUCUUGUGCUCUGGGAUAAGCCUGGGAAACUGGGUCUAAUACUGGAUAGGACCUGUCUCUGCAUGGGGGUGGGUGGAAAGUGUUAUGUAGCGGCAUGAGGUGGGCCCGCGGCCUAUCAGCUUGUUGGUGGGGUAAUGGCUUACCAAGGCGGUGACGGGUAGCCGGCCUGGGAGGGUGAUCGGCCACACUGGGACUGAGAUACGGCCCAGACUCCUACGGGAGGCAGCAGUGGGGAAUAUUGCACAAUGGGCGCUGGCCUGAUGCAGCGACGCCGCGUGGGGGAUGACGGCCUUCGGGUUGUAAACCUCUUUCAGCGCCGACGAAGCGUGAGUGACGGUAGGCGCAGAAGAAGCACCGGCCAACUACGUGCCAGCAGCCGCGGUAAUACGUAGGGUGCGAGCGUUGUCCGGAAUUACUGGGCGUAAAGAGCUCGUAGGUGGUUUGUCGCGUUGUCUGUGAAAUCCUGCUGCUUAACGGUGGGCGUGCAGGCGAUACGGGCAGGCUGGAGUACUGCAGGGGAGACUGGAAUUCCUGGUGUAGCGGUGAAAUGCGCAGAUAUCAGGAGGAACACCGGUGGCGAAGGCGGGUCUCUGGGCAGUAACUGACGCUGAGGAGCGAAAGCGUGGGGAGCGAACAGGAUUAGAUACCCUGGUAGUCCACGCCGUAAACGGUGGGUACUAGGUGUGGGCUCUAUUUCCACGGGGUCCGUGCCGUAGCUAACGCAUUAAGUACCCCGCCUGGGGAGUACGGCCGCAAGGCUAAAACUCAAAUGAAUUGACGGGG
rnacentral:rRNA from 1 species